AUUGAACGCUGGCGGCAGGCCUAACACAUGCAAGUCGAGCGGAUGAAGGGAGCUUGCUCCCGGAUUCAGCGGCGGACGGGUGAGUAAUGCCUAGGAAUCUGCCUGGUAGUGGGGGAUAACGUCCGGAAACGGGCGCUAAUACCGCAUACGUCCUGAGGGAGAAAGUGGGGGAUCUUCGGACCUCACGCUAUCAGAUGAGCCUAGGUCGGAUUAGCUAGUUGGUGGGGUAAAGGCCUACCAAGGCGACGAUCCGUAACUGGUCUGAGAGGAUGAUCAGUCACACUGGAACUGAGACACGGUCCAGACUCCUACGGGAGGCAGCAGUGGGGAAUAUUGGACAAUGGGCGAAAGCCUGAUCCAGCCAUGCCGCGUGUGCGAAGAAGGUCUUCGGAUUGUAAAGCACUUUAAGUUGGGAGGAAGGGCAGUAAGUUAAUACCUUGCUGUUUUGACGUUACCAACAGAAUAAGCACCGGCUAACUUCGUG
rnacentral:rRNA from 1 species